CCGUUGCAUCAUGAUCGGGUCAUCGUACGCAGAGGAAACCCUUGAAGAUGCCCGAGAAGCUACCGAGAGAAGGCAGAUCACAACAAAUAUCAGCUGCAGAGCUCUGCCGCUGCUUUCAUGGUCACGGGUUUUGCAUUUUUGUAUCGCAAAGUUUCAACGGGGCAAGCAUCUCUCUUUAGCUUCGUUUCAACAAUAUAUGCAAUACGUAGUUUUGUACAUUGUUAUAUUAUAAGGAUAACCGCAAGAAUUGCGUAUAAUUCGUAUGGUUUUGUCUUAACCGCAAUUUGGACCGACUUUGAUAUUCCAAGUUUGGAUCUGAUUCAAGGAGUAAGAAGCUUUGGUA